rnacentral:rRNA from 1 species
UACGGAGGGUGCGAGCGUUGUCCGGAAUCACUGGGCGUAAAGGGCGCGUAGGUGGCUUGGCAAGCGUGUGGUGAAAGCCCGGGGCUCAACCCCGGGUCUGCCGUGCGAACUGCUAUGGCUUGAGCACUGUAGAGGCAGGUAGAAUUCCGGGUGUAGCGGUGGAAUGCGUAGAUAUCGGGAGGAACACCAGUGGCGAAGGCGGCGAUCUGGGAAGAUACUGACGCUGAGGUGCGAAAGCGUGGGGAGCAAACAGG